UAAGGCCCUUCAAUCAGGUGGGACUACCCGCUGAACUUAAGCAUAUCAAUAAGCGGAGGAAAAGAAACUAACAAGGAUUCCCCCAGUAACGGCGAGUGAAGAGGGAAAAGCCCAAAUUUGUAAUCUGGCUCUUUCACAAGGGUCCGAGUUGUAAUUUUGAGAACUGUUUUCUGUGCUGGACCAUUUCUAAGUCUGUUGGAAAACAGCAUCAUAGAGGGUGAUAAUCCCGUUUGUGAUAUGGACUACCAGGGCUAUAUGAUACAGUUUCUAAGAGUCGAGUUGUUUGGGAAUGCAGCUCAAAGUGGGUGGUAAAUUCCAUCUAAGGCUAAAUAUAGGUGAGAGACCGAUAGCAUACAAGUACCGUGAGGGAAAGAUGAAAAGAACUUUGGAAAGAGAGUUAACAGUGUGUGAAAUUGUUGUAAAGGAAACAUUUAAACUUAUUGUUGUGCUUGUCAGUUCAGCCCUCUUAUCAGGGUGUAUUCUGGCAAAUCACGGGCCAACAUCAGUUUUUGAGUGCUGGAUAAGGGUCUUGGGAAUGUAGCAGUCUAGGCUGUGUUAUAGCCCAUGAUUUAGAUACAGUGCUUAGGACUGAGAACAAUCUGCAGCAAGCCCUCUAUUGUGGCAGCCUGUCAUGGGCACCUAUGCUAAGGAUGUUGGUGAGAUAGAUUUAAAUGACCCGUCUGCAAACCCCGGGA
rnacentral:rRNA from 1 species